rnacentral:tRNA from 1 species
GGGCCUGUGGCUCAGCUGGUUAGAGCACAUCGCUGGCAGUGAUGGGGUCAGGGGUUCGAAUCCCCUCAGGUCCA